GUCCAGGUGAGGUGCACCUGGGGAAGGUGAACUUCCGCCGCCUUAUCCUCAGAGCCCGAGGCCUAUCCCUCUCCCUCCGCAUCGCUAUCUCCCGAGAAACCACCGCGAGUACAUCGGCCGCCGCCGCUCAAUCCGCCUUGGUCGCUCGUCCCCUGGGCCUAUAUAAGAGACCCCGAGACCUCCUUGACCUCCACAACACCACGCCCCACUCCCAUCUCCCCUCGGGCUCCCGGUAGCCCGAAUUUUGUCGAGGAGCCGCCGCCGUUUUCUCCGACGCCGGCGACGAUUUCCGUCGCGGUAAAGGAGCUCGGAAGCAUCCGCGGCAACGGGAGACGAACACGCCGGCGCCGCGGACAUUGCCCUCGUCGCUUUCCAACCUCGCCGGAACCAGCUGACCACCGGUGGAGCUCCGUCACGUCUACAAGCAUCGCCUCCAAGCCUCGCCCAAACCAUCCGACGUCUGCAGCUCCGUUUCCGUCCACGACCGGAGUUGCAAAAUCCCUUGCCGGACACACAUCGUGAGCACAUCCACAUUGUCCGGACUGCGAGG